rnacentral:lncRNA from 1 species
AACAAAUACUGGCUUGGUCGUGGCCACCAUGUCAAAUGCCAGGGCUCCAGAGAUGACAACAACAGGGUCCCUACCCUCAGGGGAUCAUAUCCUACCAGGGGAGAUAGAGAGGUGAACAAACAGGACAAAUACAGGUUGACAAGUGCUAAGAGAGAAGUCAGAGGCUGUGGGAACAGAGAGGAGGAGUAUCUAACCAGCCUGGAGUAUCUGGAAGACUUCCUGAAGGAGGAGAAAACACCUGGGCUAAAUCUUAAAGGAAGACCAGAAGCUACCCAGGGAAAGAAGUGAAGGAAGGCAUUAUAAACAGAGAGGCCAGGAGGUUCAUGCUGCAGCUGAAUUCUCAAACGCGCUUCACAGAUUCCAGCCUCAGCAUUCCCAGAGAAGGCCCAGGAUCUCCCUGAGAGGCCCAGUUGGUGUUUGUGGAAUCAUCACUCCUCUGGUGAUCACGCAGUUUGCCUCACUUUCUCCAUGGAGCUCUUUGCUAAAGGACAUUCUCCUCCAGCUGUGAAGGAAAAGCCCAACAAAAGGCAGGGUACUUUGUUCUAACUGAGGAUGUCUACUGACACAGCCAAGCUGUAAAGCAGACCACGGACGGCAGUGCAGCGGGGAGAACAACUCUACAUCUGGUUGGAGGUGGAGUAAUGUCCAGUCUGGGCACAGAGAGAUGGCAGGUGUGCAGCUGCACUCAGCAUGGGAUAGAGGUACCUGAUCUAACCACAGAGAAGGGGUGGGUCAGGAGAGCUUCCUGGGCUGAAUGUUAAAUAACAGAAUUGAAGUCAAUUGAGCCAAGGCAAGGGUAGGCUGUUUCCCCUUUACUUCCUGUGAAUCUCAACAUUUAGCAUGGGUCUGGAACAUCACAGAUGCAUAACAAAAUGUGUUGAAUGAAUGGAUGGCUGAAUGACUGAAUGAAUGAAGCUUUGAUGAAAUUCCCCUAGGAGUCUGUUAUCCAGGAAAGUUGAACAUCCAUUAAUCUUUCCAAGCCCAAAUGAAGAAAUUGAAGCCCAGAAGGAAGAAGUCAAUAGCCCACUCUAUUCACCCUACUUCUCUGUCCCUCUUUAGCUCUGUGCUGCUGUUUGAGAGGAAUUGUUUGCUGUCCCAGCUAUGCCCUCUUGUAUUUUUACAAAGCACAGUUUUGUUGUUCCCAGCAAACAUAGUAUCUUUCUAUGGCACAGGCUGGACGCCAUUCUACACCUCCAUCUUAAUGCAAAGUUGUUCCCCAAUGCUAGGGCUCAGUCCAUGCUUGGUUUUGCAGCCAUGUCUCUAUCAGUAGAAAUCCUCAGCUAUAACAAGAUUAUUUUUACCCAUUGAUCCUAGUGGGCUUUCUUACCUGCAAAGGGUCUUAGGGGACACCAGGGUGGGAACCACAGAACCCUGACUGAGAACCACUCCUUUAGGAGCCUCCUCUGGCUGUUUGGUGUACCACUGGUGCAUGGUGCAAUAUCUGGAUAAGCCUGGCCAAGAGCCUAGUCUGCUUCUGGGGGCUUAUCCUGAAAUUCUGGAAUGACUUCUGAACCUUUGAUGCUCAACCACCUCCUCUUUGCAGGGCUGAAAAUAACUUGGCCACUUCCUGACAGGCAUGACUGGUGUCAGUUUGGGGUGCAUGAUACUGAAUUAAGUGCCAGGUACAGAUGGGCAAUUUGGGGGCAGUUUUACUUAAUCCGCCCAAAAGUUCUGCAAGGAGGUGUCAUUAUUCUCAUUUAAAAGUGGAAGAAAUCAAAACUCUAGAGGUUUGGUGAUUCCACUCAAGGAUGUGUGAGAGUUCAGAAUCAGAAGCAGAAAGACUUAAACCAGGGAGAUAAAUGCCCCAAAGGAGGAACACCAUGCCAGGGCACGCUCACAUGCAGAACCUCCAGGCUUUCACUAGGGUGGCUGUGAGUUUUUGCAAACUUUGGCUCUAAAGGGAUCAUGUAACAGGCAUGAGAAACCAAGAAAGUGGACUGCGCAGGCCAGGAGAAGGGAGUUAGCAGUGAUUCCUUCUACUACUUUCUCACCAAUCCACAUCCUUUCUCUUCUGCAAAACCCAUUUCAUCGUAUUAUUAUUUUUUUUUUUUGGAGAGAGAGGGUCUUGCUAUGUUGCCUGGUCUGGUCAUGAACUCCUGGGUUCAGUUGCUCCUCCCACCUCAGCCUCCCAAAGUGCUGGGAUAAUAGGUGUGAGCCACCAUGCCCAGGUGAAAUUUCAUCUUUUUAAUUCUGUUAAUAACUUCAUCUACCAUUGUGUCUUUCUUGUUUGUUCACUGAAAUUUCAUAAAACCCCACUGCUGACAUGAAUACUUGGGUAUGUUGUAUAUGGUGACCUUGGUCUGUUGCCCAGCCUCUGGAAACUCAGGUCCUCAUCCAGGUGGAAACACCAGCCCAGCAGGAAGUCCCUUGGCUUUAUUGCCGUCCUCAUUUCUCCUACUCUCUGUCUGCAGAGAUUGUUGAACAGUCAGAGGGACCAAAAUAGAGCUAGCCAAAAUUGCAAGUGCAUUCUAUCAUCUCCCCCGAACCCUCAUGCUCCUGUCCCACAACAUCAGCCAAAGGAAAACAAAACAGGGAAAGUAGACAUGGCUCAUUUUGCUUGUAACAAAGAGAUGAGUUGUGGUGAAGAAUUAACCAAGGUGCAUAAAUUAGCACAAUCCUAUAGGUUGUAAAUAAAUCAGCCUUAAAAGUGUUCACAACUUAAGCCUCUUUUAUCCUCAGCUGAGAAAGCCUUCUGUGAUUUCCCGCCCACGGUGUUGUUAGUAAGGGUGGCAGUUCUGGACUUUGGGGGUGGGAGUUGUUAGGAAAGGUGGCAGUUCAUUCGGUAUUGUGGGGCUCAAACUUCAAUACUACACCAUUGGCUUAGGAGAAAGAGGGGCCUAUGUCACCUUUUACUUGCAGCAAAAAGACAAAAGAUCCCCAUCAUGUGGUAGAAGCUGUUCUGAGUUCUGCAGCUCUUGGAGUCCCUUAGAGAUCUCAUUUGAUCUCAAGUCUUUAAGUCCAUCUCUACACAUUGAUGACAUCCUAAUUUAUAUCUCCAGCCAGGACAUCUUCCUGAAUUACAUGCUCAUAACUCCAGCUGCCUAUUUGACUUCUCCACUUGCACAUAUAAAGAAAUCUCCACAGUAACACUUUAAAACCAAAUUCCUGCUAUUCUCUCCCAAACCUGCUGCACAUGCAGCCUUUCCCAUCUCAGUCAAUGGCAAGCCCAUUCUUCUAGUUGCUCAGGCUGAAACACUUGGAAUCAACCUUGAUUCCUUUCUGUCACUCACAUGCCUCAUCCCAUCAACCAACAAAUCCUCCCAGCUCUACCUUCAAAGCAACCACAGUCCUAGCACUUCCCACCCCACCCUGCUUCCACCUGGUCCAAGCCUCCAGCAUCACUUCCUGAAUCGCAGUAACUGCCUUACAGAGUUAUUUGUAUCAAGGGAAAACUGGAAACUAUUCUAGUAUCCAUAAUAUAUAUUUUAUCUCUUAAUUUUCAAGGCUUUUGUACUCUGGGUUGUCAAACUAUUUAAGAUGCUGCUGAAGAGCAAUUAGCAUCUGGGAAGAUGUUCACAUGAAAUUACAAAGUGAAAAAAGGAUAUGUAGAAACUGGAAAGUUAUAUUGGAAAAUGCUCUCUGGUUCUGAAAUUGUAGAAUUUUAAAUUUCUUUUUACACUUAAAAAAUUGUGUUCAUGAUUUGGAAAAAAUACAAUUAAAAAUAAAAUGAUGGAAAAGUAAAAGACAGAAGUAGAGAAAAUACAUGGUUGAUGUAGAGGACAGAGAGGCUGCAAGUUCCCUCUCAGGCAUGGAAUAUAAUAUUUGAGCUGUAAGUGCUGUGAACCCCCAUUUUAUAGAUGGAAAAAGAGAGGUCCAGAGAUACACAGUGAGUUGCCCAGAAAAAUAAUGCCUGCUUUCAUUUACUCCUGUGUACCAGACAUUGUGCUAUGUGCUUUAUAAAUAUGAAAAUUUGUAUUCUCCACACUGGCUAUAUGAGGUUAAGAAUAUCUCCCUCUACCACUCCAUCCAUUCUACAGAUGAGGAGACUGAUGCUUAUACAAGUUAUAUAAUUUGCCCAAAAUCACAUGGCUAGUCAUAUUCAGAGCCGGUACCCAAACCCCAAAGGUCAUGCUCUUAACUAUCACUGUUUUCCUACUUUCCAAAGUCAGACAUUCAGCUGGGAAGGAGAACCUAGAUUUCCAAACUCCCAGUCACCUUGCACCAUUUUGAAACGAAGGGUGGAUGAUUAGAAUUAAACAGCUCAGAGGCCCCAAAAACUC